rnacentral:rRNA from 1 species
UACGUAGGGUGCGAGCGUUAAUCGGAAUUACUGGGCGUAAAGGGUGCGCAGGCGGCGUCGCAAGUCAGGCGUGAAAUCCCCGGGCUUAACCUGGGAAUGGCACUUGAAACUACGAUGCUGGAGUAUGGCAGAGGGAGGUGGAAUUCCACGUGUAGCGGUGAAAUGCGUAGAGUAUCUGGAGGAAUACCGGUGGCGAAGGCGGCAUCCUGGACCAUUACGUGACGCUGACGGCGCGAAAGCUAGGGGAGCAAACGGGGAUUAAGAA